CCUCCCUCUGAAAUGUUCUAAAAGCCUGGAUGAUCACAGAAGAGCAGCAAAACCUAACGAAGAGGAACAGAUGGGAUAUCAAGUAUCAAAUCCACUGCCAGAUGGUGAAGCGUGAUUCCUCACUCCAGAGAACACAUUUCCACUGCUCCAGAGUCCAAUGGCGUGCACAAUGAGUGGACAGAGUUGGACUGUAGCUGUGAGGUAACGCCUGAGGAGCUUCAGGAACACUUAAUGGUGGCCCAUCAGGUAGGGUUUUAUCCAUGUCAUCUGGAUGGUUGUUGGUGAGGAGCUGAAGUUGCUCUCGGUGGUAAAUUCAAUGUCAAUGUAUCUAUGCCUGCUUAGCAUUGCGGUACAUGGUAGUCUUCAUGUAGCUUGAUAUUGAUUGCAAAUCAUUUUAUGUGAUCUUUACAGGGUUUUCUCAAUGUCUUCGGUGGAAUGAUUGAUUCUGCCUACACUAACUGGAGAAUCCCCUUCUGGAUGUUUGAUAUUGCUAAGUUCCACUGUGAGAAAAAUGCAACUCAACUACUGUAUGACACAAACAUAAUGAUCCAACAACAAUCCAAAACUCUUCUACACCUCACAAGAGAGGUGUUAAUAACACAUGUUCAAACUUGCAUCUGACAUUUAAAAUAGGGAGUGACAUCAAAGAAUGGCUGCCAUUCAGCCUCUGUUUCUCUGUGAGUCCUGCACCGUUUCAGUGUCCUUUCUCUUAUCUCUUGCAGUGAAAGAGCAGUGGGUGUAUUGGCAGGGGAAAGGGAACAAGCCUCAGGCAUGUACUGUAAUGGAACGCUCCACAUACCAGGGAAAUUGAGAGUGUUAACAUAACCAGGUGCCAGUCAACAGGAAGGGCCAAAGUGCCAUGGUGUUUAGCUCUGCUAUGUACAUCUACGGGGGAUACAUUGACAUGAUAGGCUCAUCACAGGAGUUUUGGAAGUUAGAUUUUGACACCAAGUUGUGGACCCUGCUGGACUGCAUCCAGAUGGAGGUGGGUCCUGGACCCAGACACAGCCACUCUGCCAUGACCGUCCUGGACUGCAUGUACCUGUUUGGGGGUCUGAGGGAGCAGAGGGACCUGUGGAGGUGGAACUCCACAUGUCACUCCUGGAGCUGUCUCAAAGCCAUGUCAGGCCCCUCCCUCUAAGCUGGUAGGCCACUCAGCUUAUUCCUGCCCAUAUCAUAAGUCCACCGCCACCAUGGGGCAGUCUGUUUACAACAUUGACAUCAGCAAACCUCUCACCCACAAGACGCCAUACACGCUGUCUGCCAUCUAGUCAGUACAGUUGAUACCGGGAUUAAUCUAUGAAGAGCACACUUCUCCAGCAUGCCAUUGGCAAUCGCAGCUUCACCACCCAGACCUGGGUGAAGCUAGCCGUGCUACCCAGCUCAAACCCUCCACCCCACAGGAUCUACCACUGCUGUGCUGGCCUAGGCCCCAGCUACCAGCCUGUCGUGACCACCACCACCAGCACCACCCUGACCCCCAGCAUCACCAUCAGAAACAGUCUGGACAGCAAUCUACAGUCAUUCAAAAACAAAUGCUUCCCUUCCUCCUCAGAGUUAGAGGGCACUAUAGAGCUGGAGACGUUAAGUAGCUCAGAGAAGCUAUUGACCGACCUGGGGGACUAUUGUAAUGGUCUAAGUGGGAACUAUGCUUAGCGCUUUGGGAACUGUCUGACUUCUUAAAAUAAUUGUUAUACUUUUUUCAUCAAACCCACAACCGUGGCACUGCUAGUGUAAUAUAUAAUUAAAUAUUCACUAUUAGCAAUUACUGAUUUUAUUUUCAAUACAAUUCAACAAUAAAUUAUUGUAUUUCUGUUUUGCUAUAUAUUUACAUGCAUUUCAUUUGUAAAAGCUGUCAAAAGGGUGUAGGGAACGAAAUGUACUCUUGAGGACUCCAUGGUGUUGGGAAGGCUUUCAAUGCAGGCUGCAGAGGUUGCUUCCCACCAGCAGGAUCUGUGGAGGUUACAUGUAAAGUUUUUUAUAGUAAUGGUAAUGGUGAUCAAUGUCAUGCUAAAGUGGAGGGAAAGUCCAUGAAGAUGGACAUUAUUGUGGAUGCGGCAGAGUGGUUCCUGGGGCUAAAAUAUUUCUCAAGAAAGGGAUUACAUGAGGCUCUGUCACAAGCAGUGAUACCCUCUCAGGCCCCAGAGUGUGGGGAGGGAGCUACUGAAGAAAUGAGGGAGUGUGAUAUAGGUUUUGUUAAGUCAUUUUUUUGUAUGGCAUUUCCUUUUUUACCUUAAGGAGUUUCCUUUUUCCCCCUGUACAGAUGGUGGCACCAUAAAUAUAGUAUGACGACCGCCGUUAAACUUCACCGACGAAGAAGAAGUUCACAAAAGAUCAUGAACAGUCAAAAUCAUGUUUUUCUUGAAAUUGGAUAAUAUUUGGAUGAAACCAGAUAAAGUUUAAUCAUAAAGUUACUGAUCCCAUCCCCCAUGUCAAACACUUGUGGAGGUGGAAUUUUUAAGGGGAUAGGGUAACAUCACACUAACUCUUAUUUUAAUACACUAAUGGUAACAUGAUAUUAUAUUACCUAGCUUAAAUAAGUACCGCCUUGUAAGCAACAUCAGAGAAGGAGUUUUUGCAGAGGGGUCGUAGUUUAUAUAGCUAGAUAGCUACUCUACUGGUGCCAAAAUUGGACUGUAUGGUGUCAGCAAAUGUAAUUAAAAGUUGACACUUCACCUAUGGCAAACAUACUUAUAUGUUUCCCCUUCCAUCUGUGUCUGGUGUUAGCUAGUUAAUGGCUAGCCAGGUCUUCAUCUGUGUCUGGUGUUAGCUAGUUAAUGGCUAGCUAGGUCUUCAUCUGUGUCUGG